rnacentral:misc_RNA from 1 species
CAUUCUAGCGUGGUUGAUGGGGAAACCAGCUUGGCUAGGGCAGAAGCUCGUUCGAUUCGAGUGAAAGAAUGGUUCUCGUAAGUCCGCACAAGUGAUAGCAGGUUCAAGUCCUGACUAGAAUGACA